GACUAGUCGUCACGGGCCGUCUCCGCUCGGCUGACAUGUUCAAAGGGAAUCUCUGACAGGUGUGAGUGAUGACCGCCUAGACUCGCGGACUGACAAUAACACUCACCGUUUCAUGUUCCAUACGAGGGUAAUAGUUCCGUUUUUGUGGCGUUGAAAAAUCAUUUACAGUGUGUUCAAGAAACAACAUGCUGUAUAACGCCACGGGUCGUUUGAAUUUUGAAACCUGAAUAAUGUCGAGCGCUUAAUAUCUCUAAGUUCUCGUCGCUGUUUUUUGUUGCGAGCUCUUGACGAGCCUGUCACGUACAACUCGCAAAAUAAAACACGUGCGGAGUGGCAGCCACAAAUCACAUUUUUUAAUCGAACUCACGUCUGUGGAACCGCACAGAAAUUGUGGACGCGGCUAAAGCAACGCUUCGAGCCACGUUUUAAAGUUCAUUUUCAUGAUUAUCGACAACAACACGAAGUUUGCACGUUUUCAGCGCGCAGUCACGUCGGGCCGCGCGGAAUGCUAUCGACAUCCGCUAAACUAUCGACGUUCGCGCAACACUAAUUGCUCUUUUUGUGGGAGCCAUUAUUUCUCACAAUGAUUUACGUAACCUUCUUCGAAACGUAAUCGUAUCAUUAAUGCUUUAAAUGACUUUAACGGCCCAUUCACGUGAUUUAGAUUGAUUACUUUCAGCAUUAAUAAUAAGGUAAGCCAAGGAGUACAAUCAAAUAGUGUUGUUUUAACUAAUAGCUACCGACUAUCGAUAAAAUAAAUUUAAUUCGUGAACAAGACAGUGCAUUUGUCAUGUAAUCGCCCGGAUAAGGGUAGAGGGAUCUCAAUUAAAAAUUUAUUUCUCAAGACUUCUGGCGGCGACGUCGGCGUAAUUAAGAUACCAGCUGAGCAUAGAUUAUAAAUUAUCUGAGUUACGUAGUGUGGUUAUCUUUGACAUGGGUUUGGCGGGAAGCGAUUUUCAUUUGUAAUUAGCGGCUCGGUAGCGAUAAAAGUCGGUUUCGAGUUUUUAAAAUGGCGAUUCAAAAGAUACCGUGCCUCUAAUGUAUGCAUAAUGGUGUUUACUUUAAUAUUCAUCAUCAUCGCCUGUCUUGAAAUAAUUAAGUGUAAAAAUAUAUUACGGUUAUGAUAGCAGAACUGUUUUUGAAUAAUUUUUGCUUUAUGCUAAAUUAAUGAUCUUACGAGCCAACUGAUGCUACCUAUUGAGUAGCUAUUGGAGCAUAUAGACCUCAUAAAUUGGAUGUUGUCACUCGCAUUCAGCAAUGAGGUCGAAAAAGCCUGUAUUGCAUAUCGGACUUUAAAUAGAAGAAAUCGGAUUUUCAUGGAAGGAAGAAAUGGAAAUUUCAUGGAAGAAGGAAAUCGCGAGACUGCCGCCCUCGACUGGGGAUGGCGGGCGGAGCAUGUUGGAGUCGAACCGACUAAAACCUCCUGUCGCUCAUCCCAACCAACGUCCAUACCUCGCAUGAGACAGAUUUCAUGAAAAGGCAAAGUGGGGAAAGUGAAGCGUUUAGUACGGAGCACAUCUCCCCAAUCACCCUCCCCCUCGGGACGCCGGACCGGCGGUCGUCGGCACCACGACCACCAGCCCUCUCGAUGUAGAUAUAUGCUAAGUACUAUUUAUUUAGAAAUAUAGGUAUCUGCUUCCUGUAUUACAAGUAAUCCAAACAAGAUCUUAUACGCACCAGUUUCAUCUUUCAUUAGAUCACUCAACACUGCGUCAGAGCCUACAAUAGUUCAACAAAUUGAAAUUUUAUGGUUUAAAAAAUGAUUAAAAUUCGUGUGAAUGAUUCUUUCUUCGGCACUCGAUCACUUGUUAUUUUAGCACAUAAUAGAUUAAAAAAACAAUGUUAAAAUAAACAUAACAUACGGCCUCUAACUACGAAUUUAAACUGGUUUCUUGAUUGUUUAUGAGAUUUGGCUGAAUUUUAAGAUUGCUUAAAAUAAAUAUGAGUUUUUUUU